CGCCCCAAGAUUGAAUAUUUAGGGUCCUGCCUGCCCGGUAACUAAGUUAAACGGCUGCAGUAUUACUGACUGUGCAAAGGUAGCAUAAUCAUUCGCCUGUUAAUUGCAGGCUUGUAUCAACGGCUAGACGAUAGGAAAGCUGUCUCCUCUUACUAUCUCCUAAUUUAGUUUUAAGGUGAAGAGACCUUAAUGAGAAAGCGGGACGAGAAGACCCUAUAGAGCUUUAUUCUUAUAUUAAGUAUAAUUAAUGAAAGAAUUUGGUUGGGGCAACUACUUCUAUAAAUUAGACAGGAGUUUAACAUAAAAAUUUUGAGUAAAAUGACCCAGAAAUAGUCUGAGAAGAAGAAAAAGUUACCUUAGGGAUAACAGCGUAAUUUUCUUUGAGAGUACUUAUUGACAAGAAAGCUUGCGACCUCGAUGUUGGAUCAGAAGACCCCGGAUGUGCAGCAGCCUCCAAAGGUUGGUUUGUUCAACCAUUAAAAUUCUACG
rnacentral:rRNA from 21 species